rnacentral:rRNA from 1 species
AUUGAACGCUGGCGGCAGGCUUAACACAUGCAAGUCGAACGGCAGCGGGGGAGAAGCUUGCUUUUCCUGCCGGCGAGUGGCGAACGGGUGAGUAAUACACCGGAACGUGCCCUGUAGUGGGGGAUAACUAGUCGAAAGAUUAGCUAAUACCGCAUACGACCUGAGGGUGAAAGUGGGGGACCGCAAGGCCUCAUGCUAUAGGAGCGGCCGAUGUCUGAUUAGCUAGUUGGUGGGGUAAAGGCCUACCAAGGCGACGAUCAGUAGCUGGUCUGAGAGGACGAUCAGCCACACUGGGACUGAGACACGGCCCAGACUCCUACGGGAGGCAGCAGUGGGGAAUUUUGGACAAUGGGCGAAAGCCUGAUCCAGCAAUGCCGCGUGUGUGAAGAGGACCUUCGGGUUGUAAAGCACUUUUGUCCGGAAAGAAAUGGCUCUGGUUAAUACCUGGGGUCGAUGACGGUACCGGAAGAAUAAGGACCGGCUAACUACGUGCCAGCCGCCGCCGUAA